CUUGUCUGGCUCGAGGACCAAAAACCGUUUCGAGUCAGUCGGAAAGAUGUGCAAGCAGUUUAUCGCGACCGACCAACGUGGCAAGACCUCUGUAUUAUGCGCUUCUGUGUGUGGGCGUUUUUGGGACAUUGAGUCGCUGCCUAUUGUUUUCUGCACCCAUCGCUGCAGGUCAAGAGUUUAGAAAACAGUGCGCCGCAUUUCUUUGAGUGCUUCCUAAUCCCGUAGUCGGCGUCGAUUGCAAUUAACUGCAGUUUCAGUUGAACGGUGCAUCUUGAAGGUUUGCUCCGAGGACAAAUAACGUAGUGAGUUAUAGUGAUAAUCAUAAUCUAGUGAUUCCUCAUAGUUAAAAAUUGUUUGGUUAUGUAUUUUAGAAAACUCGAACGACUUAGCUCCCCUUAGUAGAUUCUAUCCGUCCUUCCAUUACAGAAUACAGCAACAUGUUGAAGUUGCCACCUGUAAUCUAGUUUCGCGAGUGUUUCCCAAGAACUAUCUACAUAAGUAAAUAAGAAUAAGCUAUCCUUGCUAGAAAGCAAAGCUCACUUCAUUUCAGAACGGUUGUGAAUGUUGGCUACCAAUGAAGUUCUUGCUCAAUUAGAGAAGAUAAAAGUUAAUCCCCACUGAUAGUGCAGUAAUUGAAGAUUUUUUUCUUGUGUAAAGAUUGUCUUGGCAGAAACUUAAUUUAGUGAACCAAAGUGUGAGUGUAAAAGUGUGCUUGAAUUUAAUUUAAGGCAAAGGCAAAGUGGAAAAAAAUCUUUCUGAAGGUGAACCAUAAAUUCAAAACAGUGGAAAGAAAUCAAGUGACAGUGCUUUUCCUUUUUGUCCUUUACUUUUUUUUUUUGCUUUGAACGAACAAGUGCUACUACAGGCCCUCGGGGCUCCACGCAGAAAGGACCACGUCUACCCUGUCUCAUUUUCACAUAAACAUUUCGCCACGACCCUCGGCUGGCAAAAGGGCAACGGCAGUUAAAACAGUUACCGAAAGGACGAGAAGGGAAGUUCGUUUCAUGUUUUUCCUUCUGGCUUGAGUCACGCUCUUUUCCGGCACACUUGCUGGCUGUUGAGACCUGCUUCCGUUCCAAAGCAGUCACCCACUUGUACCAUCAGGAAGACUGUCUGAAAUAUUGUUGCUUCCUCUCUUGGCUCGUAGCAAAAGAUUCUGCUGCAUCGUGUACAGAACGCGAGUGAAUGAAUCCUCGACCCCGAACCUCCACCCACCGAACUGAUCCGAAAUCAGUGAUGUAAGCAAUCCCAGCUAAACGAAUUCCAUAAGUGUUGAACUAAAUCUCUUUUUUUCACACCAUUCGAGCACUGUAAACACGUAAUAAUUCUCCACAACCCCGGUCCCGAAACCGAUAAUAGCCGAACAGACAUUUCAAGAAAACAAGAAAAACUAUCACAACUAUCGAGAAAGAAAGUCCCUCCUCCACACUAUCGUCGUUUUCCAAAUCGAGAAGAACAAGUGUGCGACAAGUGUGAAGCACGUGCCAUCGAAUCUGACUCCUUUGCUCAGAAAGCUUUCCCCUCACCAAACCAGAGAAGAAAAGCGAACGCUGUGAAGAAAUCGUAGAAAAAAAAAGCAAACAAGUAACCAUCCACCGAGAGGACCAUCCAAGCACAAAAAGGUGCUGCUGCUGCUGCUGCCGUUGUGCUUUUCCAUUGGCACUCGGAUCGAUCCGCAAUCCUGGAUGUUGUCCUCGCCUCAACCCCACCCAUACCCAGCGCUCAAAGUGAUGAUGAGUAAUCGAAACUUGCUGCAGAGUGGAUAAAGUGACGAUACGGACCCCUGAUACGUGACGUGUGGCAAGUGUGCCAAGUGUGGGUGUAUGUGCAUGUGAAGGAACAACUACGGGCACUUUUGAACACGACAACGCCCCAACGCCAACAACAUUCGAAUCACAGGGGACGGAUUAAGCGUACGAUGAGCUAUCAGCAAGGAAAAGGUCGCCUCUAUCCAAGAUACUCGCUGAACUCGUCGGACAACGAGGACACUCCGAUCCAUCGGUCGAUCUACGCACAGCCCUACAAUUCGCAACAACCUCAACAACAACAAACACAACAAUCGAAUCUUCCGAUAAUUAUUGGUGGUGGAGGAGCAUCACUUGGACUGCAAAGCAAUAGCUGCUACAGUUAUCGUAGCUCCGGGAAGAAUUCUUCCGGUAUUGGCAGUGGUCAUCAGUUGUCGCAGCAGCAGCAGCAACAACAGCAUCAGCAAAUUACGACCCCUUCUUCGGAUAAUGGAUCGAGUGCAACACUGACGGACGCGGAAGCUGCAAUAGCGAGGGAAAACACGCUGCUUGUUAAU